GACGUAGGGCGCGAGCGUUGUCCGGAUUUAUUGGGCGUAAAGCGUGUGUAGGCGGCCAUGUAAGUCGGAUGUGAAAGCCCCAGGCUCAACCUGGGAAGUGCACUCGGUACUGCGUGGCUUGAGUAUCGGAGAGGUUGGUGGAAUUCUCGGUGUAGAGGUGAAAUUCGUAGAUAUCGAGAGGAACACCGGUGGCGAAGGCGGCCAACUGGACGAAUACUGACGCUGAGACACGAAAGCGUGGGGAGCAAACAGG
rnacentral:rRNA from 1 species